rnacentral:rRNA from 1 species
GAUUGAACGCUGGCGGCAUGCCUUACACAUGCAAGUCGAACGGCAGCACGGGAGCAAUCCUGGUGGCGAGUGGCGAACGGGUGAGUAAUAUAUCGGAACGUGCCCAGUCGUGGGGGAUAACGUAGCGAAAGCUACGCUAAUACCGCAUACGAUCUACGGAUGAAAGCGGGGGAUCGCAAGACCUCGCGCGAUUGGAGCGGCCGAUAUCAGAUUAGCUAGUUGGUGGGGUAAAAGCUCACCAAGGCGACGAUCUGUAGCUGGUCUGAGAGGACGACCAGCCACACUGGAACUGAGACACGGUCCAGACUCCUACGGGAGGCAGCAGUGGGGAAUUUUGGACAAUGGGGGAAACCCUGAUCCAGCCAUGCCGCGUGUAUGAAGAAGGCCUUAGGGUUGUAAAGUACUUUUGUCAGGGAAGAAAAGCUUAAUAUUAAUACUAUUAAGUCAUGACGGUACCUGAAGAAUAAGCACCGGCUAACUACGUG